GUGUUAGCAAAAAGGAAAGCGAAACCGUAAUGAACCGGAGAAGAAACUGAAAGUUUGUUUCCUUUUAACUUAAAUCAAUUUUUGUUUCUUCAGUGCUCAUGUUUAUGUGCAUGUCAGGGACGAAACUUUCUGUGUUCAAGACGAGUUUGUGGAGGGUGAUUUGACUUCCUUUGCUGAUAUGAAAAGGGUGUGGCUAUCCAGAAAGUUUUCUUAUGUUUAUGAAGCACUUCCUAGCUCCAACUUAGUGUUUUUUCAUUCAGUCAUUACUUUCCCAUGCCAUUGGUAAGUUUAGGUCUAACACAGAGAUUUUUGGAACCCUUAUAACUAGUUACCCUUUGCCGUUUGUAUUCACAUGGUGCUUGUUAUUUAGCUAAGCCUUAUGUCUACAGGCACAUGGUUUGUGUUGAUGGAGACUUGCCUUCAUGAGAUCCAACCUUUCAAACCCAAGUUCUGGAUUUGUAACUCAAUUCGUAAAGUGUUUACAAUCUGGUGAUUGCUUACAUGACAAGGUCGAUCCUUUUUAACUAGUUUUCUUUCUUCAAGCCUAGAAAGUGAAAGCUUCUGUGAUGUGAUUCAUUGAGGGAUCUUAUAGUUGAUGCAAACGACAAAGGUGUGGAGAUAGCUACUGCUGGUGGUGAAACUAAUGCUUGACAGAAAGGUGUUUAUAUUUGGAGCUGUGGAUUUUGAUGAAGCGUGUACAACCAAGAAAAUUCAUCUAUCGAUAGAGCUACGGAACGCACUUGUGCGGUGUACCUAUACAAAGUAUGUCAUUUUGUCCCUUAAGUUACAAAUCGUGAUUUAAUAUAACCUUGUAAGUGAUAUGAUUCUCAUCUUGAUUUGGACAUAUUAACCUCUGACACCAAGAUUGAGCUGACUUAGCCAAUGCAAUCACCGGUCAAAUGUUUUUUAUGUAUGCCCGCUAAUGAAAUAGAUAUGGCAAUUACAUUUAGGUUUUGAGUCGAUUUUUCAUCCUUUUCUAGUAAUACUGGAAGUCAGGUUGUGUUUAACAACUACACACAUCUCAAAAAAAAUCAAAGAGAGCAAGAUGUUGAUGAGGAGAAUAUCCAUCAAACGAUAAAGGCAUUCAUUAUAAAAAAAAAAGUUUUUUUCGGAUGAAUAAAUUUAAUAUUCAUUCAAAAAGUUGAUUUGGAGAAUAUGAUAGUUUUUUGUGAAAUUUAGUAUCUAACAAUGGGGAAUUAAGGAUGUAAAUUAGGGAUGAGGUUUUUUUUACUAUUUGGACAUAUAUUAUGUCAUAUAUUCUCUUGAGUAUUUGUUAUAUUUGCUGUAUUUUCUAAGAGCUGAGUAACAGAAUAUAGCCAUUGUCUUGUUGGAAGCUAAAACCAAAGAACUAACCAUGGAUUAUAGAUGUUGCUGACACAAAAUAAUUAGAUUAGCAAUUGAUGUUGUACUUUAAGAUAAAGGAUAUACAAUAGCAUUGUUCUUUUCUAGUAGAUUAGAUGCACCAGAAUUGCUGAUAUUUUUAAAGUAAUAGUUUUUGUUAUAUUUAGUUGAACACGUCAUACGUAUGUAUGUGGUGUGUAUUUUGUCAAUAUUAUAAAAACAAUUAAACUAAAAGAGGAGUUUAUGUGGCUGAUUUGGACAAAAGUGACUAUGAUGAUUGUAUAUCUUCAGAUAAUAUGGGACCCGGUUAAGGGGGUUGGUGAGAUGAGUGGUGUUUGCUGGAUCUUUGCCACUGUGGUUGUUGCCUUGGUGGUCCUUUUACCGAGGGCCCACACAUUGAAUCCCCAAUAUUUAUUUUAUUUCUUGUUGUUUUUAUUUAAUUUAAUCCUAAUAGUAAAAAAAUUAGAACUUUAAAUAAAAUUAAAUAUAAAAUACGAGAAGUAAUAUAUUAGGAUUAAAAAUAUUUUAGCAAUAGUUGACAAAAAAAAAUAUUUUAGCAAUAAAAAUAUAAAAUAUGAAAAUGAUAUUCAUGAAUAAUCAUAUAAAUAAUUAUAUUUUAACUGGUUCAAAUUUGAUAUUAAAUUUAGUUUAUAUAUCUAAGUUAUAUUAAAUCAUAUCAUAUCAUUUAGAACUCUAUAUUAAUGAUUUGUCGAAAAAAAAAAUAUUAACGAAGAUGUUCGAUGGUGAUCUUGUUUUUUUGCUUAGUCAAAUAUGGCGAGCCUAAGAGCAUGAACAUCCCAAGUUUUUUAGAGAGGUUUUUGAUAAAAUACGGGUCUCACUGAUGUGUGGGUCUCACAAAAAUUUUAAAAACUAAUUCCCAAAAUCACCAAAUAAGGAUCGGUAAUUGGAGAGUUUUUGCACUGUUUGCGAAUCCUACCGACAUGUGGCAACCUGCGAUUAGUUUUUUUUUUUUUUUUAGAAAACAAAAAAAAAAUUCUUAAGGACCCUUUGCCGAUAAUCUUGGUCUAAUAGAUUUCACUCGUGGUGCAGAGUGAAGAAAAUAAUAGGGUUGAAGAGUAAUUAUAUACUCCUAGUAAAUAAUCUUUUACGCAGCCUUUCACUAUUUUAAUGAUGCUACAGGUAUAGAGUUUGAUUUGUCAACUUUGACUCCCAUUUCGCAACAAGAAACCGCGUUUUCGUUAAGAGUCCUGUUUUAUGAAGAGUCAAUACAUAAUUUUAAAUGUGGAAACUGAUGGUUGAUAAUAUAUAACGUAAUGAAGUUUGUUGUUGAGUAACUCGUCUUUGCGAGCCCAUCUCUUUGUAAGCCUAUCAUCAUGUUAAGUAUUUGUUAAGCUCAAGAAAAUCCAGAUGCUUAAUGUCUGAAAUUAAGAUUAAGAGACGACUUAGAUACUAAAGACGCUACAGAAGAGAAAGAUGUCACCGUGAAGGGGCUAGUCUCACUAAUUUUGUUGGAAGAAACAAUGAUGCUCGUAUCUUUUUUAUUUUAUACUCCCUCUGUUCUUUAAAUAUAUAUUUUUUAAAAACAAAAUUUGUUUUAAAAAGAUAUAUUUUUUAUAUUUUUAAUAAAUUAAUUAAUAAAAAAUUAUAUUUUUACAAUUGUGUUAAAUAAAAUCUCAUUGGUUAAAAUUUAUUGAGAAUAGUUAAUUAAGAAAAAUAAUAUAUUGGAAACUACAAUUUUAAAUUAUUUCUUAAUAAAUGUGAAAAAACUGGAUUUUUUACGAACGGAGAGAGUAUUAAUCAGAAUCUCCCUUUUCAGUUCUGUUUAAUGCAUUCUGUUCAUUUCUUGCUAUUCUUAUCAAAAAAGUUAAAUCGAAAGAAAAUGUGUUCCUCGAAUAGAAUACUACACCAGAUCAUGCGUCCACAUUCCUGUUGAGAGGAAUUUAAAACGUUAGAUGGUAUAUUCAACUUACAUGGUGAUGUUGUAAAAAUGAUGUGUUGAUUGUUCUAAAAAUUUAGCUCAAUGCAUGGUGUUUUCCAGUUUAUUUUCUUUUUCCUUAACUAUUUUCUUAUUAGUUACAUGUUCAGUGAAAUAUCUCGGGAAAAAUAUAUGUAAAUAAGUGCCAAAGUUAUGAUUGUAGUUUCCUAUUGGAGUCAUCGCCUACUACAAUAAUGAGAAAGAGCAUGUACACAUGCAACUGUGCAAGCGUUUGAAUGAACCCAUCUUACGAACCCAUUACUUCUUUGAACCACAUUACAUAGCUUAGUAUAAAGAUCCUUUAAAUUUCCGUGUUCAGUUGACUUGCAUUAGCUAUAUUUAUGUAUUUAAAAAAAAAUAUUUAUGUUUAUAUCUCUAUAAAAUGUUAGUUAUUUGUUUAUCGGCUACAUGUUAGCAGCAAUUAAACUUUUGUUGGUCAUUUAUUUAGGUGGAACUAAUUUUGCCAUCUAUAUCACUAAACUAGCUCAGAAAAAAGUUUCAAGAAAAAAAAAACUAGCUUAGAAAAGCACUUGUCUUUUUUACU